CAGUGUAACACCUGUCAAGCCAAGUUCACUCAGAGUUGUACCGACACCGUGUGACCAACAAUGAGGCCGCCAGCUCCAUGUUAAAAUAUAACACGUGCAACACGACCUUCAGGGAGCCGCUUGACCUUGAGAAACAUCGGAAGCUGCAUCUCGACCGCAGAGGGUAACACCAGCUCCUCCUUAUCUGACAUUGUAUUAAAAUCACAGUAUGAAAACAUCCGCAACCCUACAACCACUCACGGUAACCAAAUGACCAGUUAUGGUUACCAUGGUAAACACACAACAACUGUACGUAAUCAAAUAAAUUGUUACUAAUCAAUAACUGAGACUAACCAUGCAACCAAUGCUGGUUACCAAGUUACCAUUGAUGGUAACCAAGCAAUAAGCGAUUGUAACGAAGCAAACACGAACAGUAACUUUGCAGCCCUUGAAACUAGCAUGGUUACCACAACUUGGACACAUGGUGUGAUCAUUGACAAUACUGCUCCAGACAAUCAUGCGUGUGAUGAUGGCAGUGGAUAUCUCGAUGGUGAAACCCUGCAUGUGAGUCUGAAAGGUGGUACUGGUCAGUCGCUAAACUGACCCAGGGAUCUGAAGUGGUGGACAUGGAACUGAAGAAGGUAACCAGGUCCAAGUACUUUUGGGCCGCGCUGUGUGAAAACAGG